rnacentral:pre_miRNA from 1 species
AGGACUGUCACACCUGAGCAUGGUACCUUGAGGCUCAAUCUCAGGUUUGUCAGCCCAUG